rnacentral:rRNA from 1 species
GAGUUUGAUUAUGGCUCAGAUUGAACGCUGGCGGCAUGCUUUACACAUGCAAGUCGAACGGCAGCACGGGUGCUUGCACCUGGUGGCGAGUGGCGAACGGGUGAGUAAUGCAUUGGAACGUACCGGGUAAUGGGGGAUAACUUGCCGAAAGGUAAGCUAAUACCGCAUACGCUCUUAGGAGGAAAGCGGGGGAUCUUCGGACCUCGCGUUAUCCGAGCGGCCAAUGUCUGAUUAGCUAGUUGGUGGGGUAAGGGCCUACCAAGGCGACGAUCAGUAGCGGGUCUGAGAGGAUGAUCCGCCACACUGGGACUGAGACACGGCCCAGACUCCUACGGGAGGCAGCAGUGGGGAAUUUUGGACAAUGGGCGCAAGCCUGAUCCAGCCAUGCCGCGUGUCUGAAGAAGGCCUUCGGGUUGUAAAGGACUUUUGUACGGGAAGAAAAAGUUGUGGCUAAUACCCAUGACUGAUGACG